rnacentral:rRNA from 1 species
GAUGAACGCUGGCGGCGUGCCUAAUACAUGCAAGUCGAGCGAACAGACGAGGAGCUUGCUCCUCUGACGUUAGCGGCGGACGGGUGAGUAACACGUGGAUAACCUACCUAUAAGACUGGGAUAACUUCGGGAAACCGGAGCUAAUACCGGAUAAUAUAUUGAACCGCAUGGUUCAAUAGUGAAAGACGGUUUUGCUGUCACUUAUAGAUUGAUCCUCGCCGCAUUAGCUAGUUGGUAAGGUAACGGCUUACCAAGGCAACGAUGCGUAGCCGACCUGAGAGGGUGAUCGGCCACACUGGAACUGAGACACGGUCCAGACUCCUACGGGAGGCAGCAGUAGGGAAUCUUCCGCAAUGGGCGAAAGCUUGACGGAGCAACGACGCGUGAGUGAUGAAGGUAUUCGGAUCGUAAAACUCUGUUAUUAGGGAAGAACAAAUGUGUAAGUAACUAUGCACGUCUUGACGGUACCUAAUCAGAAAGCCACGGCUAACUACGUG